GAGAUCUUUGGGAGAAAAAAAAAAUGUAAGCGCUCGCACGAUUCCUUUCUCUCCGCCCGCCGCUCGUGGCGGCCCUGGGCUCGCUCCUUUUCCUCGCGCUCCCGUGCGCGCCGCGCCUCUCGCGCCCCGCGUUUCCUUCUCAGCAGUCCCUGCAAGCGCCCUCAGUAGCCAUUAUUCACGGGCCACCGGGGGACAGGAGAGACGCAGCUUGGAGAUCCUGCCACUUGCUGGCCUCGCGGUCCUAGAGGCACUGGGUUUGGGGAACCUGCUGGGCUCACCGAGAUGGCUAUGGACAGGAGUGGGCAGCGGGACCGACAUUCAGAGAUCCUGGACCAGCCCAGAGCGACGAGGAUCACCCGGAGAAGGGGGGUCAUGGCCCAGAAACAGCUGUGGACUAGGCUGAGACAAAGAGCCGGGCUAGGGGAUUUGAGGCUGGACCACAGCGGAGGUGCGUCUGGCCGACACGCUAAGGACUGGUGCGUGAAACCCGGGGACAGCGGCGAGGCUACCGUUCUCCUCAGCCCAGGGAGCCGCUUUGCAGGCCUGGGGGCACGUUAUUACGCCUCCCCCCAACCCGCAGGCCGGGGCAAGGGGUUCUGAGCGAGCUCAGCUGGUGGCACUGAGCCCUCGGCUGUGAUUGCACGGUCUGCUGGCCCGCCCCUUUCCAGGCCGCUCAUCGCCCACGCAGCCAUUCAUUCAUCCAUCCAGUCCCUAUCCAACCAUUUUUCCAUUCGUCCAAGUGUCCUUCCAUCCACCUGCUUAUCCGUGCUUAUCCCUGCUCCCUGAAUGUCCAGCAGGUCAGUCUCUUGUUUUGCUCUCCUAGACCGCACCCCCCAAUCGUGUUUUUCCGCUUCAGCUACUGUCCCUCUGGCUCAUAAAGGAGAAGCUCACACAGGACCCCUCACACUUGAAAUUUGCUGCUCAGCGAUGGAUGAUACCCUGACCCCUCACUUCAUCUUCUAAGCUCCCUCCUCACCCUUUUAAAGUCCUAAUACAUCCUACACCCCACCCACCCGUUUUAUAAUUGCAUACUAGGUGGGCAUGGCAUGCUUUCUCUCUCUGGUCCUCCCUGAAGCCUGGAGGCACCUUCUUUGUGAGGGCAGGCACAGGCUUCAUUCCCCUGCAGAGUGCACCUCCGCACAGUCCCUCUGUCCUGGGCAGGGGGUGCCUCUUAAGUCCUUUACAGCACAGGGGCACUACCAGUACCCUGGUGGCUUGAAAGACACUCCCAAACCUGCCACUGGUAUAUUGCCAACUGGGAAACUAAAGAAAUAGCUUCCCUGAUAGGCACUGUGGUACAUGCUUGUAAUUCUAAUACCUGGGAGGCUGGGGCAGGUGGAUUGAUCAAUCAAGAUGGAGGCCAUCCUGAGCUACACUAUGAGUUCAAGGCCAGCCUGAAUUACAGAGUGAGACAUUGUCUCAAAAAUUAAAUAAAUACAUCAUCCCAGACCUAAUCAAUUUGAAUGUCCAGAGCAUUUGCACAGGCUGUUCCCUCAGCCUAGAAAUCAGCGUUUGUACAGUGAGGCUUAGAGACCACGACCGUGGUACAUCUACAGUCCCCCAGGUUCCUUAAGACCACCACCUAAAGGGCUAACCUUUCUAUCAGAAAUGAAUCCCUAAGGCUCAAGUAGCCCCAGCUCCUUGCUGGACUCCACUUGCUGUCUUUAAAAUGAGGGGCUGCUCAGCAUCAUUCUUUAAUGCCAGGGUCACUCAGAACUGAGGAUGUGGGGUGAACCAGUAGUCAGGCCUCCGAGCAUUACUAAGCCUGGCAACAAAGAAGCCCAAAUUACUUCCGAGCACCAUCACUCUAACCAUAGAUAGAUCCUUAACUGCUGGCACAUCCCAACAGCCCCUUCCUUGUGCCCCUUCUCCCAGAGGACAGGGACAGGCUUCCCUCUCCUUGCUUCCAGAGUGACCAAAAUCCUCCCAACCAGGUCCCUUGCUCUGAGAUGACCGAGCUCUCUCUUGAACGGUGCCCUAUGGUUUAGUUUUAUGAAUUUUGUAGGUAUUUUUGUCUGUGUUUCUCCUUGGAGCAUCCUUCAUAGCUGGGUGGUACCCGGUCCAUGUUCCAUGAGUAUUUGCUGAAUGAGUGAGUGAGGAUGAACCAUCUCCUCUACCUGUGAGUCUAACCCAGCCCAGGUUCCCUCUUCAAAAUGAGAGUCUCUGUGUGAAAAACAAUAGGAAGGGAGAGUGGAGGACCUCGGCUAGGGCAGGCUGCAUGACUUCACCCAAGUCACUCAGUGAAUGCCCUUCAUGAUUCUGAGGACACGUACUAGGGUCUAGGUGGGUGAGAUGGUGGUGGGGGCUUGUCCCAGAGGAGAGCAGAGACUUCCGUCUGCCCCAAGGGAUUCUCCUGAGAUUCCUGGAACACCCCGCCCCCCGGCGGGGGGCACUGCUGUGGCAGAAGGCUGUGAUAACAUUAGCCACAGGUAGAUGGACACCUUACCUGGUGAUGGCCCUCAGUAAGCAUUAUUAUUAGGCAUGCUUUCUGGAACUCUCCUUAGUAAUGGUCAAAAUCUGCCCAUCUCAGAGGGAAAACCCAGGCUUUGAAAGGGCAAAGAGCUUGCCAAGGGCAUGCAGCAAGACAUCCUAUUCCAACUGACUAGAAGGUUCAAGAGAGGGCUUGCUCUCAUUUCUGCCCAGCACAGUGCCUGCUCUGCAGUAGUAGCCACUCACCAUGUAUUUAUUAAAUGAAUCGGGGGAGCAGUGGUACCAACAUUCACACAUAAAUGAGCUUGGUCCCCUUACCAUUGGGGUUGUCCCAACAGACCCUACUGGCAGGAUCAUGUGAAGUCAUCAUGUGGUACUGGGCAUACAGCACAAGUGACAUGACUGUCAAGGGAAUGACCAGCAGAGGAGGCUGGCAGGCUUCCCUUUCCCCCAGGACCUGUCCUGGCCCAGAGGAGGCGGAGAGUUCAGUGUGGUGCUAUGGCUGCUUACUGGCUUCAAACCCCGGAUGCUUCCAGGUGAAGUGUGGCUGUGCACAGGAGGCCUUGCCAAGUGUACCUUUUGUUUUCCUGGAGCUAUUCGAAUAAAUAUCUGCUUUCAUGCAAA